UUGCUAUGAUGACUAUCUUAGGACACCUUUGGAUUACCCAUGAAAAGAAAUACUAUGUUCUGAGCAAC